rnacentral:rRNA from 1 species
UACGUAGGGUGCAAGCGUUAAUCGGAAUUACUGGGCGUAAAGCGUGCGCAGGCGGUUAUAUAAGACAGAUGUGAAAUCCCCGGGCUCAACCUGGGAACUGCAUUUGUGACUGUAUAGCUAGAGUACGGUAGAGGGGGAUGGAAUUCCGCGUGUAGCAGUGAAAUGCGUAGAUAUGCGGAGGAACACCAAUGGCGAAGGCAAUCCCCCGGGCCUGUACUGACGCUCAUGCACGAAAGCGUGGGGAGCAAACAGG